GCAAGGAGCUACGCGCAGGCGCCCGUGGGAGACUGGGAGUGGGAAGCAAAGAUGCAGAGAGCAAGGGGGAGACACGCUCGCCGGCCUGGGGGAACCCUCGGCUGGAAUCUGGGAGCUGCCUUUCUGCGAAACCCCCCACAGCACCAUCUGGGUUUCCGUGUUCUGAUCACAUUGGCGUUCGCUGCUGCUAAGUCACUUCAGUCGUGUCCGACUCUGUGCGACCCCAUAGACGGCAGCCCACCAGGCUCCCCGUCCCUGGGAUUCUCCCGGCAAGAAUACAUUGGCGUUCGAGGAACCAUCAAAGGAGGUGGGGGUCAGCGGCUGGAAGGUGCUGCUUGGGUUGGGUGAUCGUGAACUGUGAGAUUGCAGACAAAGACGCCAGGAAAACAGGAGGACAUGGAGUGGGGCGAGAUGUGUGAAAUUUAUUUUAUGAAGACGAGGCACCGUGGAGGACUAAUUGAUGAUGGGCCGUAGGAGGCGGUGGCUGACCUGUGCAGGGUAAGACCAUCGGUGUCAGGGGGAAAAAUGAUGGUGACCUACUCAGAACCCCAGAGCUGGUGUGAAGACAUUUGAGACUCAAAAGAUGCAGACAGAAGCCUCCGUUUUUCACGAGUGUUCUCUCUUUUUUAUUUUAAAUUUUAUUCUUUUAAAGAUUUUUUUUUGACGUGGGCCAUUUUUAACGUCUUCAAUUGAAUUUGUUACCACAUCACCUCCGUUGCUUAUAUUUCUGGUUUUUGGUCACCAGGCACGUGGGAUCGUAGACCCCGCCCCCCACCAGGGAUCAAAUCCCCAUCCCCUGCCUUGGAAGAUGAAGUCUUCACCAUUGGACUACCAAGGGAAGUGUCAAGUCUUCCCUUUUAAAUUUUUCAUUGGGGUUUCAAAGUUUUUUUGUUUUUGUCUUCUAAUCCUGUUGCCGAAUCCACAAAGGCACCACGAUGAACCAAACAGGUGGCAAGGCAACAUGACUUAGGACAAGUCCCCAUUCGCUUCUGAUUUUGAAUGAGAAGUGUACGCUUGCAUUAAGGUUUUGUGCUCACGUCGGGCAGGGAGAAGAAGAAGCAGAUUUUUUCUGAUGGCUUGUCGCGUACGUCUCAGCCUUUCGAACAAAAGCUCAGAUAAACGGUGACUUGCACCGGGAGGCCACAUUGCCUGCAGCCGGCGCACAGCGAAACCCAAAUAUCCACGGAAUUGGAGGGAAUGGCAUUUGGUUUCCCGGACAAAUGCUCAUGUCACUGGAAGGUCCAUGGCUUUUGCUGAAAAUUAAGGGGUCACAAUAUGUCUAGCAGUCUUUGAUUAUUUUUUUAACUUAAAAAAAAAGUAACUUUUAUUUCUUUUUGGCCGUGGUGGGUCUUCAUUGCUGCGUGCAGGCUUUCUCGAGUGGUGGCGAGCAGGGGUUACUUCCUAAUUGGGGUACACGGACUUCUCAUUGCGAUGGCAUCUCUUGUGGCUCCUGGGUUCUAGACCUCAGGCUCAGUAGUUGUGGAACACGGGCUUAGUUUCCCCAAGGCCUGUGGGGUCUUCCCAGACCAGGAAUGGAACCUGUGUCUCCUGCAUUGCAACGGAGAUUCUUAACUGCUGGACCACCAGGCAAGCCCUGUUAAUUCACUUUUAGCUACUCACUGAAAUCAUGAUAAAGCCAUCGCACGUUGACCUUUGAAGCAACACCGAGUCAGCUGGUCUAGUUCCCUGACCAUGGAUUGAACCUGGGCCGCCUGCAGUGGGAAUGCAGAAUCU
ensembl:lncRNA